GGUGCGCGCGGCUACCUGCAGUCAGGGGGCUGGAGCAAUCCAGCAACCGGCGAACGGGUGCGUAACACGUGAGCAAUCUGCCGAUUUCUGGGGGAUAGCCGGCCCAACGGCCGGGUAAUACCGCAUACGCUACUUGGGGGGAGUCCCCUGGGUAGGAAACCUCCGGGGGAGAUCGAGGAGCUCGCGGCCUAUCAGCUAGUUGGCGGGGUCAUGGCCCACCAAGGCGACGACGGGUAGCUGGUCUGAGAGGAUGGCCAGCCACAUUGGGACUGAGAGACGGCCCAGACUCCUACGGGAGGCAGCAGUGGGGAAUCUUGCGCAAUGGCCGAAAGGCUGACGCAGCGACGCCGCGUGUGGGAGGACGCCCUUCGGGGUGUAAACCACUGUUGCCCGGGACGAACAUCCUCUUUUGAGAGGACUGACGGUACCGGGUGAGGAAGCACCGGCUAACUCCGUGCCAGCAGCCGCGGUAAUACGGAGGGUGCGAGCGUUGUCCGGAAUCACUGGGCGUAAAGGGCGCGUAGGUGGCUGGAGUAGUCAACGGUGAAAGCUCGGGGCUCAACCCCGAGUCGGCCGUCGAUACUCUUCGGCUCGAGCUCACUAGAGGCAGAUGGAAUUCCGGGUGUAGCGGUGGAAUGCGUAGAGAUCCGGAAGAACACCGGUGGCGAAGGCGGUCUGCUGGGGUGAGGCUGACACUGAGGCGCGACAGCGUGGGGAGCAAACAGGAUUAGAUACCCUGGUAGUCCACGCCGUAAACGAUGGGCACUAGGUGCUUGGGGGAGCGACCCCUUGAGUGCCGGCGCUAACGCAUUAAGUGCCCCGCCUGGGGAGUACGGCCGCAAGGCUA
rnacentral:rRNA from 1 species